UACGUAGGGUGCGAGCGUUGUCCGGAAUUAUUGGGCGUAAAGAGCUUGUAGGCGGUUUGUCGCGUCUGCCGUGAAAAUCCGAGGCUCAACCUCGGACUUGCGGUGGGUACGGGCAGACUAGAGUGUGGUAGGGGAGACUGGAAUUCCUGGUGUAGCGGUGAAAUGCGUAGAUAUUAGGAGGAACACCAGUGGCGAAGGCGGCUCUCUGGACCGGUUCUGACGCUGAGGAGCGAAAGCGUGGGGAGCGAACAGG
rnacentral:rRNA from 1 species